UGAAAAAAAAAUUCAAGAGUUGGUUGAAGCAAAUAAUCAGGUAGAGCUAUGAAUUUGACCUCUGUCCAAAUUUGUCUGUAAUCCGUAAAAUACAAACUCAUGAAUCUUUUACUAGCAGGUCUUAGAAAAGUUUCAAGAAGAGUUGAAAGCUCGAUCUAUAUUGCGUAUUGUAGAAGAGACAAAGAAGAGACUUUUGAGUGAAAAAACAUCGCUUGAGGAAAAAAUUUAAGAGCUAGAGAAGAAGAUGAAGAUUUAAAUCAAGUAACAACACAAGUGCUAUCGGAG
rnacentral:lncRNA from 1 species